CGCCGUUACGACCCAACUUUGAUUAGUCAAUUAUGUUCUUCACUCCUUUAUAUAGAGAUUUCAGUUCCUAGACAAGUUUUGUUACUCAUCGUGUGUAGGGUUUCGGUCUAUGUGGAUUAAUUUGUCACCCAGGAAGAUUCAAUAACGCUGCUUGGAAGUUCGUCUUGGAUUCUCUUCCUCCUCUGAUUUAGAAAGAGAGGACUUGGGGCAAUAAUAGCGAUAUCAACAACAUGGAUGCGUUAUGGUAUCAUAGAACAUAUCAAAAUGACUGGCAAGUGAUUGCUGAAGCCAAACGUCGUUUGAUAAUCAACUGAAGAUAUAGAAGCGGAAGACACGUUUUUACACGGUUAGUGAACAUUUAACCAAUUGCUAAGAAGCAAGGCACGUUCUCGAGUUAUCGCGGCAAGUUCGACCAAAGGGGUUGCAUUGCGAUGAGGUUUAUGGAAGAGGGAAUGGGCUAGACCACUGGAACUUGAGGAUCGGAAUCUUUCAAUUAGCCAUCUUUCCUGAAAAUGUGAUUGCAGCGCCAGUGGUGGUGAAAUCUGCUGUGAAGAAUGCAAGCCAUGGAAACAUGUCUUCACGUAGUCACUAAUCUUGGGGCGAUGCAGGUCAUGUUGAAGCUGAGGGAUUGAAAUGGAUCUCUUGUAGAAGUGUAGGCUUUGGAGGACUAUAUGUUUUUGAACUCUUCGUGUGUGCCUAUGUGAAGCCACUGGAGUCUCCUAAUCUUCAUAUUUUCUUUCUUGAGAACAAUCUCGAGAAUGCGACGAAGGAUACCCUGAAUAUGAAUUUUAGGAAUCCAAAAUAUUUUCCUAUAGAAGCACUUGACAUUCUAUUUACCUGAUAUGUAGCUGAAGCUGCAUUAGAUAUUUUUCUUGGACGAUGAUGUAGUUGUGCAGAAGGAUUUAACGGGGCAUUGGAAGAUUGAUAUGACAGGAAAGUGAACAGGGCUGAAGAGACUUAUGCCGGUUCCUUCCAUUGGUAUGCUCAGACAUUAACUUCUCGCAUUCUUUGAUUAAGAGAAUUUAAAUCCGACAGCAUGCGCAUGGGCUUAUUGGAAUGAAGUUAUCUGAUCCUGAUGCUUGAAGAAUAAAGAAAUGCACAGAAGAAUACCACUACAGCAGACAAGAAUUUGUUUCUUUGUGUGUUAUUGGCUUUGUUGUGUGUUUUAUGAACUGGACAUUUUUGUUAGUCUUUUCAUAAUGAUUUAAGCAAUGAAUCUCUACAGCUUGAGAGAGGGGACAGCUUCUGAAGGCGGAUCCAUACUUGGGGUUAAGAGAAGCACACAUCAAUUUCCCUACUGAAUUACAAUUUUCUGAGUCUCUCUUAUAGUUAGGUAGUUACAGUAUUAAGCUGUUGAGAAUGAUUAAAGCAUUACGAGAUCUUCACUUCUUCCUAUAUAUGAUAAUAUGUUGCUUUCUAUUUCA